rnacentral:rRNA from 1 species
GACGAACGCUGGCGGCGUGCCUAAUACAUGCAAGUAGAACGCUGAAGGAGGAGCUUGCUUCUCUGGAUGAGUUGCGAACGGGUGAGUAACGCGUAGGUAACCUGCCUGGUAGCGGGGGAUAACUAUUGGAAACGAUAGCUAAUACCGCAUAAGAGUAGAUGUUGCAUGACAUUUGCUUAAAAGGUGCAAUUGCAUCACUACCAGAUGGACCUGCGUUGUAUUAGCUAGUUGGUGAGGUAACGGCUCACCAAGGCAACGAUACAUAGCCGACCUGAGAGGGUGAUCGGCCACACUGGGACUGAGACACGGCCCAGACUCCUACGGGAGGCAGCAGUAGGGAAUCUUCGGCAAUGGACGGAAGUCUGACCGAGCAACGCCGCGUGAGUGAAGAAGGUUUUCGGAUCGUAAAGCUCUGUUGUAAGAGAAGAACGAGUGUGAGAGUGGAAAAGUUCACACUGUGACG